rnacentral:rRNA from 1 species
CCAACGGGGGCCCUUCCAAUACUUGGCCAAGUCGAGCGGACCGAAUCGGAGCUUGCUCUGGUUGGGUCAGCGGCGGACGGGUGAGUAAACACGUGGGCAACCUGCCCGCAAGACCGGGAUAACUCCGGGAAACCGGAGCUAAUACCGGAUAACACCGAAGACCGCAUGGUCUUUGGUUGAAAGGCGGCCUUUGGCUGUCACUUGCGGAUGGGCCCGCGGCGCAUUAGCUAGUUGGUGAGGUAACGGCUCACCAAGGCGACGAUGCGUAGCCGGCCUGAGAGGGUGACCGGCCACACUGGGACUGAGACACGGCCCAGACUCCUACGGGAGGCAGCAGUAGGGAAUCUUCCGCAAUGGGCGAAAGCCUGACGGAGCGACGCCGCGUGAGCGAAGAAGGCCUUCGGGUCGUAAAGCUCUGUUGUGAGGGACGAAGGAGCGCCGUUUGAACAAGGCGGCGCGGUGACGGUACCUCACGAGAAAGCCCCGGCUAACUACGUGCCAGCAGCCGCGGUAAUACGUAGGGGGCGAGCGUUGUCCGGAAUUAUUGGGCGUAAAGCGCGCGCAGGCGGCUCCUUAAGUCUGAUGUGAAAGCCCACGGCUCAACCGUGGAGGGUCAUUUGGAAAACUGGGGAGCUUGAGUGCAGGAGAGGGGAGCGGAAUUCCACGUGUAGCGGUGAAAUGCGUAGAGAUGUGGAGGAACACCAGUGGCGAAGGGCGGCUCUCUGGCCUGUAACUGACGCUGAGGCGCGAAAGCGUGGGGAGCAAAACAGGAUUAAGAUACCCCUGGCUAGUCCCACGCCCGUAAA